GACGAACGCUGGCGGCGUGCCUAAUACAUGCAAGUCGAACGCACGAAGUUGAAGAGCUUGCUCUUUAACCAAGUGAGUGGCGGACGGGUGAGUAACACGUGGGUAACCUGCCCAUUAGAGGGGGAUAACAUUCGGAAACGGAUGCUAAUACCGCAUAGUUUCAGGGAUCGCAUGAUUCUUGAAGGAAAGGUGGCUCCGGCUACCACUAAUGGAUGGACCCGCGGCGUAUUAGCUAGUUGGUGAGGUAAUGGCUCACCAAGGCAAUGAUACGUAGCCGACCUGAGAGGGUGAUCGGCCACACUGGGACUGAGACACGGCCCAGACUCCUACGGGAGGCAGCAGUAGGGAAUCUUCCGCAAUGGACGAAAGUCUGACGGAGCAACGCCGCGUGAGUGAAGAAGGUUUUCGGAUCGUAAAACUCUGUUGUUAAAGAAGAACAAGGAUGAGAGUAACUGCUCAUCCCCUGACGGUAUUUAACCAGAAAGCCACGGCUAACUACGUGCCAGCAGCCGCGGUAAUACGUAGGUGGCAAGCGUUGUCCGGAUUUAUUGGGCGUAAAGCGAGCGCAGGCGGUUCUUUAAGUCUGAUGUGAAAGCCCCCGGCUCAACCGGGGAGGGUCAUUGGAAACUGGAGAACUUGAGUGCAGAAGAGGAGAGUGGAAUUCCACGUGUAGCGGUGAAAUGCGUAGAUAUGUGGAGGAACACCAGUGGCGAAAGCGACUCUCUGGUCUGUAACUGACGCUGAGGCUCGAAAGCGUGGGGAGCAAACAGG
rnacentral:rRNA from 1 species